rnacentral:rRNA from 1 species
UUUAGAGUUUGGAUCCUGGCUCAGGACGAACGCUGGCUGCGUGCUUAACACAUGCAAGUCGAACGCUGAAGCCUGGUGCUUGCACCGGGUGGAUGAGUGGCGAACGGGUGAGUAACACGUGAGUAACCUGCCCCUGACUUCGGGAUAAGCCCGGGAAACUGGGUCUAAUACCGGAUACGACUGCCGGACGCAUGUCUGGUGGUGGAAAGUUUUUUCGGUUGGGGAUGGGCUCGCGGCCUAUCAGUUUGUUGGUGAGGUAAUGGCUCACCAAGACGACGACGGGUAGCCGGCCUGAGAGGGCGACCGGCCACACUGGGACUGAGACACGGCCCAGACUCCUACGGGAGGCAGCAGUGGGGAAUAUUGCACAAUGGGGGAAACCCUGAUGCAGCGACGCAGCGUGCGGGAUGACGGCCUUCGGGUUGUAAACCGCUUUCAGCAGGGAAGAAGC